UUGCUCUGCAGGGAGUGGAGGAACCUCCAGUGAGGUUCUCCAGCUGUGUCCUGAAUAUCUUCCAGUGGUAGGAGGUCUGCAGCUGCAUCUUGGCCAUCAGGAUCGUCAGGAGAAGAGGAGGAAGGAGGAGAUUGGUGUGAAAAGAUUAUGUGGUCAGGGAAAAGAGAUUGUUGCAGAAAGAGUAUGUCUCUCCCUCUUCAGAGAAUGGAUGUUUCCCUCCCCCUUGAUCCAGCAGCCUUCAGACACCAACCACUGAAAAUAUCUGUGAUCGUUAAACAGAACACAUUGUUCCAGUUGCCAGUUAUCCGGGACUGAAAAGUUGAAGAGAGGCACACUCUGGCCUCUGCCAACAGCCAGAGGACCUCAGAGGACCACUGAAAGACUACACCUCCUGCCACAGAGGAACAGCAUCAUGACAAGGGGGAGACCAACCUGGUCCCAUCCAGUGGCUAGUGAAGAAGCAGCUGUUGCAAUGCUGGCUUUCCUUUUCCAUCCCUGUUUCUUUUUCCUUUUGUGUCGUGUCUACUAGAUUGCAAACCUGUGGGCAGAGACUGUCUUGUCUUUUAAUAUACAGUAGGGCCCCACUCAUACGGCAGGUUCUGUUCAGGAUUGCCACUAUAAAGUGAAAUCCGCCGUAAAGCAGAACACAUUGACUAACAUAGUCUAAAAUGGUGCCCGGCGCCCGAAAAAUACUGUAAAAGUGGGGAAAGCGCCAUAGGAGGUGGGGCCACAACCGCUGUAUCGGUGGAAUGCCUGGAGCGCUUCAAAGCGGGGCCCUACUGUAUGUACACUGCUUAGAAAAUUUUUGACACUCUAAGUGCUAAUA